GAUGUUAUUUAUCUUAUAGAGUUUUACUUUAUUGAGUUCCAGUACUACAGGUAUACUACUGUAUGCUUUCUAAAAUAACUUGGUUAGGACAAGUUUCGUUACAAUUAUUCAAGUUUAACUUUUCUUAAUGUAGGUAAUUAUUUCGUCAUACCGCAACAUUUUAGAUGUUAUUUAUCUUAUAGAGUUUUACUUUAUUGAGUUCCAGUACUACAGGUAUACUACUGUAUGCUUUCUAAAAUAACUUGGUUAGGACAAGUUUCGUUACAAUUAUUCAAGUUUAACUUUUCUUAAUAGGUAAAAGACUACAGCCAUGUGGAAGUGUAUCAUCGCCAUGCUGUCCAUCGUCACGGUGUCCGUCUACGAGACUGAAGGAAGGCCUCACGACUUCCCUAUCAACGAUGAUCACGGCCUUUAUGAUUUCGGGCACCGUAUUAAUAUUCAUUCAACUUUGAAACCUCCCACAAAAGGUCCAUGGCAGAGCGUAAUCCUUGAUGUAGGAUCUAUAAUAGGUAAAUAACCUACCUUGUGAAGCACGAACGCAAAUGUAUGGUAUUUACCUUCUCAAAACUCUGUUUUUCUUGUGCUGACAAUAAACUAACUUAACAAUUAAA